UAAUUUUAAGCAUAUCAAUAAGCGGAGGAAAAGAAGACUAACAAGGAUUCCCCUAGUAACGGCGAGUGAAGCGGGAAGAGCUCAAAUUUGAAAUCUAGUAGCCUUCGGCUGCUCGAGUUGUAAUCUAGAGAAGUGUUUUCCGUGCCGGCCCAUGUACAAGUCCCUUGGAACAGGGCGUCAUAGAGGGUGAGAAUCCCGUCCUUGACAUGGACCCCCGGUGCUCUGUGAUACACUUUCAACGAGUCGAGUUGUUUGGGAAUGCAGCUCAAAAUGGGUGGUGAAUUCCAUCUAAAGCUAAAUAUUGGCGAGAGACCGAUAGCGAACAAGUACCGUGAGGGAAAGAUGAAAAGCACUUUGGAAAGAGAGUUAAACAGUACGUGAAAUUGUUGAAAGGGAAACGAUUGAAGUCAGUCAUGCUCUUUGGUAUUUAUAUCAUUGAGUGGGGUCAACAUCAGUUUUGAGCGAUGGAUAAAGGCACUAGGAAGGUAGCACUCUCGGGUGAACUUAUAGCCUAGCGUCAUAUACAUUGUUUGGGACUGAGGAACGCAGCAUGCCUUUAUGGCCGGGAUUCGUCCACGUACAUGCUUAGGAUGUUGACAUAAGUGGCUUUAGACUACCCGUCUUGAACACCGGACCAUG
rnacentral:rRNA from 1 species